AGCGAACGCUGGCGGUAGGCCUAACACAUGCAAGUCGAACGGCAGCAUAGUAAGAGCUUGCUCUUACGGGUGGCGCGUGGCGGACGGUUGAGGAAUACAUCGGAAUCUACUUUUUCGUGGGGGCUAACGUAGGGAAACUUACGCUAAUACCGCAUACGACCUACGUGGGAAAGCAGGGGACCUUCUGACCUUUCGGUAAUGAAUGUGCCGAUGUCGUAUUAGCUAGUUGGCGGGGUAAAGGCCCACCAAGGCGACGAUCCGUAGCUGGUCUGAGAGGAUGAUCAGCCACACUGGAACUGAGACACGGUCCAGACUCCUACGGGAGGCAGCAGUGGGGAAUAUUGGACAAUGGGCGCAAGCCUGAUCCAGCCAUACCGCGUGGGUGAAGAAGGCCUUCGGGUUGUAAAGCCCUUUUGUUGGGAAAGAAAAGCAGCAGGUUAAUACCCCGCUGUUCUGACGGUACCCAAAGAAUAAGCACCGGCUAACUUCGUG
rnacentral:rRNA from 1 species